rnacentral:rRNA from 1 species
UGAGUACGAGAUGCUACGGCAUCGAAGCAGUCUAUGUCACACUUCCAAGAAAAGCUUGCACUGUCAUAAACAAAGAAUGCCUGUACCAUAACCGACACAGGUGGGUAGGUAGAGUAUACUAAGGGGCGCGAGAUAACUCUCUCUAAGGAACUCGGCAAAAUGACUCCGUAACUUCGGGAGAAGGAGUGCCUUAUUUCUAAGGUUGCAAUAACAAGAUCCAAGCAACUGUUUACCAAAACACAGGUCUCCGCUAAGUCGUAAGACGAUGUAUGGGGGCUGACGCCUGCCCAGUGCCAGAAGGUUAAAGAAGUUGGUUAGCAUUAGCGAAGCUGAUAACCGAAGCCCUGGUGAACGGCGGCCGUAACGAUAACGGUCCUAAGGUAGCGAAAUUCCUUGUCGGGUAAGUUCCGACCCGCACGAAAGGCGUAAUGAUUUGGAUACUGUCUCGGAGAGGGGCUCGGUGAAAUAGACUUGUCUGUGAAGAUGCGGACUACCUGCACCUGGACAGAAAGACCCUAUGAAGCUUUACUGUAACUUGAGAUUGAAACUGGACUUUAUUUGCGCAGUAUAGGUGGGAGGCGUUGAGAAUAAUCUUGCGGGAUUGUUGGAGCCAUCAGUGAGAUACCACUCUUGUAAUGUUAGAUUUCUAACUUUGUAUCAUUAUCUGGUCAAAGAACAGUUUCAGGCGGGCAGUUUGACUGGGGCGGUCGCCUCCCAAAGGGUAACGGAGGCGCACAAAGGUUUCCUCUGAACGGGUAGAAAUCGUAUCUAGAGUGUAAAGGCAUAAGGAAGCUUGACUGUGAGACCUACAAGUCGAGCAGGGACGAAAGUCGGUCUUAGUGAUCUGACGGUGCUGAGUGGAAAGGCCGUCACUCAACGGAUAAAAGUUACUCUAGGAUAACAGGCUGAUCUCCCCCAAGAGUUCACAUCGACGGGGAGGUUUGGCACCUCGAUGUCGGCUCAUCGCAUCCUGGGGCGGUAGUCCGUCCCAAGGGUUGGGCUGUUCGCCCAUGAAAGCGGUACGCGAGCUGGGUUCAGAACGUCGUGAGACAGUUCGGUCCAUAUCCGGUGUAGGCGUUAGAAUAUUGAGAGGAGCCUUCUCUAGUACGAGAGGACCGAGAAGGACAUACCUCUGGUGUACCAGUUAUCGUGCCAACGGUAAACGCUGGGUAGCUAUGUAUGGAGUGGAUAACCGCUGAAAGCAUCUAAGUGGGAAGCCCACCUCAAGAUAAG